rnacentral:rRNA from 1 species
AACGAACGCUGGCGGCAUGCCUAACACAUGCAAGUCGAACGAGACCUCCGGGUCUAGUGGCGCACGGGUGCGUAACGCGUGGGAACCUGCCCUUAGGCUCGGAAUAACUCCCUUAAAGGGGUGCUAAUACCGGAUAAUGUCUUCUGACCAAAGAUUGAUCGUCUUUGGAUGGGCCCGCGUUCUAUUAGCUUGUGGGUAGGGUAAAAGCCUACCAAGGCGACGAUCCAUAGCUGGGCUGAGAGGAUGAGCAGCCACACUGGGACUGAGACCCGGCCCAGACUCCUACGGGAGGCAGCAGUGGGGAAUAUUGGACUAUGGGGGAAAGCCUGAUCCAGCAAGGCCGCGUGAGUGAUGAAGGCCUUAGGGUUGUAAAGCUCUUUUACCCGGGAUGAUAAUGACAGUACCGGGAGAAUAAGCACCGGCUAACUCCGUG